rnacentral:rRNA from 1 species
UUCGCCCUUCGGUUGAUCCUGCCGGACCUGACUGCUAUCGGAUUGAUACUAAGCCAUGCGAGUCAUUGUAGCAAUACAAGGCAGACGGCUCAGUAACGCGUAGUCAACCUAACCUAUGGACGGGAAUAACCUCGGGAAACUGAGAAUAAUGCCCGAUAGAACACUAUACCUGGAAUGGUUUGUGUUCCAAAUGAUUUAUCGCCGUAGGAUGGGACUGCGGCCUAUCAGUUUGUUGGUGAGGUAAUGGCCCACCAAGACUAUUACGGGUACGGGCUCUGAGAGGAGUAGCCCGGAGAUGGGUACUGAGACACGGACCCAGGCCCUAUGGGGCGCAGCAGGCGAGAAAACUUUGCAAUGUGCGAAAGCACGACAAGGUUAAUCCGAGUGAUUUGUGCUAAACGAAUCUUUUGUUAGUCCUAGAACCACUAACGAAUAAGGGGUGGGCAAGUUCUGGUGUCAGCCGCCGCGGUAAAACCAGCACCUCAAGUGGUCAGGAUGAUUAUUGGGCCUAAAGCAUCCGUAGCCGGCUCUGUAAGUUUUCGGUUAAAUCUGUACGCUUAACGUACAGGCUGCCGGGAAUACUGCAGAGCUAGGGAGUGGGAGAAGUAGACGGUACUCGGUAGGAAGGGGUAAAAUCCUUUGAUCUAUUGAUGAC